rnacentral:rRNA from 1 species
GAUGAACGCUGGCGGCGUGUCUAAUACAUGCAAGUCGAACGAAACUUCUUUAUCACCGAGUGCUUGCACUCACCGAUAAAGAGUUGAGUGGCGAACGGGUGAGUAACACGUGGGCAACCUGCCCAAAAGAGGGGGAUAACACUUGGAAACAGGUGCUAAUACCGCAUAACCAUAGUUACCGCAUGGUAACUAUGUAAAAGGUGGCUAUACUACCGCUUUUGGAUGGGCCCGCGGCGCAUUAGCUAGUUGGUAGGGUAAAGGCUUACCAAGGCAAUGAUGCGUAGCCGAAUUGAGAGGUUGAUCGGCCACAUUGGGACUGAGACACGGCCCAAACUCCUACGGGAGGCAGCAGUAGGGAAUCUUCCACAAUGGGCGAAAGCCUGAUGGAGCAACGCCGCGUGGGUGAAGAAGGUCUUCGGAUCGUAAAACCCUGUUGUUAGAGAAGAAAGUGCGUGAGAGUAACUGUUCACGUUUCGACGGUAUCUAACCAGAAAGCCACUGCUAACUACGUG